rnacentral:lncRNA from 1 species
GAGCACGGUGGUUGCCCGCGCCGCGUCCUGACGCCCUCCUCCACCGCCAACCUGCAGGUCCUGGAGAAGGAGCGCGCGGCCCGGCGGCAGCGGUGGCGGCUGCGGCGGCUGCGGGAGCGGCUGCGGCGCCAGGACGAGGCGCUGGGGCGGCAGGCGGAGGCCCUGGAGCGCUGCCGGCGGACGCAGCGGCGCCAGCUGGGCCUGGUGCGCGAGCAGGAGCGCGGCCUGCGGGAGCAGGUGCGGCGGCUGGAGCGGGACGUGCGGCGCCUGUGCGGGGCGGCUGGCCUCCUGCUGGCCGAGCUGGACGCCCCGGCCCCGGGCAGCCCCUGCCCUCCCGGCCCGGCCGGAGCCCGGGGCGUCUCCGGGGAGGCCGCGGAGCUGCGCGCCCUGCAGGCCGAGCGGGAGCGGGAGCGGGAGCGGGAGCGGGAGCGGGAGCGGGCCGAGGCGGCGCGCAGGCUGCGGGGGCAGCGCGACACCGAGCGCCGGCUCCGCGGGCAGCUGGAGGACCUGCGCUGCUGCAUCUACGAGCUCAAGCUGUCGGAGAUCGGCCUGCAGGCCCAGGUGGAGGACCUCGCCCAGCAAAACCAGAGCCUUCGCCAGGCGCUGGGGGCCCGGGCCCCGGGGGAGAGCGCGCGCAGCCCCGCCGCUGCUGGUCACUGCAGCCCGGUCACUCUGAGCCGAAUCCAGGAUGAACCACUGUCCCUGCCCAGGGAGGACGCACCGGAUGCUCCCAAAAGGCAAGAGCCGCAGGCCACCCUCGGCUCCACCAGUGCCCCUGGACCGAGAGGCUCAGCAGGCCAGCCCUCUGAGGGGUGCUGCUCCUGGGGAUGCGUUGGAGCAGGACAAGGCCCUCUGGUUGUGGUGCCAGGCCUGGAGACCAGAGACGGGUCCCUGGAAGACGUCACAGGAUCUGACCGUGGACGGCCGACUCCGGCGGAACCCAGCAUGGAUGAACAGGCUCUCCUCCUCAUCUGCGGCUGCCCCUCCGGACAGUACAGGGACAGCUCACUCCUUCCCGUGGAGCUGGCCUGGAUUUCAGAGCAGAGGCUAGCAGCCGCCCAGGCCCAGGGAUCCUUUCUCCUGGUGCAGACGUCCACACUCCCUCCCUGGGGGCCAGCUGGGGACCCCCCUUCCCUGCUGCUGCCACUGCUGCUCCAAGAGACUUCGCCACAAGAAUCCCAAAUGGAGCAGGUGCUGGAUGCCAGGUCGUCGCCUGCUCCCAGAGCCUCAGGACAACCAGGUCGAGAUCGUCACUGGGAAAAGAGCCACAAAGCCUCGCUCUGCCAGGAGUCCCCACAGACUGCAAGUCAGCGAUUUCCCAGGAGAGGGCCCAGAGAUCUAAAAGACCCUUGGAAGGAGGGAGGAGGACCGGAGUGGAGAACCGAGGAGCAGGGGGUGAGGAAGGCUGCGGGCAGGAAGGAGGAAGACCUCGGUGGCAAGAGUAAGCUAAGUCAGGAAAGCGGAGAAAACCCGAGCUUGUGGGCUGGCGUUGGAGCCCCAGAGGGCGUGCUGAUCGAGAACGGGGCUUUAGAAACCCAGGCCUCUGCCUCCUGCCCCGGGCCCGGGCCACAGUCCCCACUGCCUCUUCUGCAGGAGGAGGCCUCAAUGUCAACCAAGGGACCCACAGCCCUGAGUGGGAGGGGGAUGGAGGGAGGGCUUUCAUCAGAGGAGGAGGAGAAGGAGAAAGAGCACCCCACAGCCAGGGCCCUCGGUGCCCAGAGGCCUGUCUCCAGCAGGUGCUCAGCUCCUUGCAGGGCCGGCCAAGGAAGAAACUCUUGCGUGGUCUGGAAAUGCUCUGCAUCUGCAAGAGGAAAGCGCUGGAGAUGAAGGGCAAGAAGAGAAGGAGGAGGAGUCAUGGCCUCUAGAAGGGUCCAGUCUGGGCCACAGCGACA